rnacentral:rRNA from 1 species
GAUGAACGCUAGCUACAGGCUUAACACCUGCAAGUCGCAGGGUAACAUGAGGAAAGCUUGCUUUCCUUGAUGACGACUGGCGCACGGGUGAGUAACGCGUAUCCAACCUUCCCAUAACUACGGGAUAACCCGUUGAAAGACGGCCUAAUACCGUAUGAUAUCGUUUGCUGACAUCAAAUAACGAUUAAAGGUUUAGCGGUUAUGGAUGGGGAUGCGUCUGAUUAGCUUGUUGGCGGGGUAACGGCCCACCAAGGCGACGAUCAGUAGGGGUUCUGAGAGGAAGGUCCCCCACAUUGGAACUGAGACACGGUCCAAACUCCUACGGGAGGCAGCAGUGAGGAAUAUUGGUCAAUGGGCGAGAGCCUGAACCAGCCAAGUAGCGUGCAGGACGACGGCACUAUGGGUUGUAAACUGCUUUUAUGUGGGGAUAAAGUGCGUGACGUGUCAUGCAUUGCAGGUACCACAUGAAUAAGGACCGGCUAAUUCCGUG